UAAGGGAUAUUGCGCAAUGGACGAAAGUCAGACGCAGCGACGCCGCGUGGGCGAUGAAGGCCUUCGGGUUGUAAAGCCCUUUUAUGGGGGAAGAGAAAAAGGACGGUACCCCAGGAAUAAGUCCCGGCUAACUACGUGCCAGCAGCCGCGGUAAAACGUAGGGGACAAGCGUUAUCCGGAUUCACUGGGCGUAAAGAGCGUUGAGGCGGUUCCGUAAGUUGGGCGUGAAAGCUCCGGGCUUAACCCGGAGAUGUCGUUCAAUACUGCGGGGCUUGAGGACAGCAGAGGAAGGUGGAAUUCCCGGUGUAGUGGUGAAAUGCGUAGAUAUCGGGAGGAACACCCGUGGCGAAGGCGGCCUUCUGGGCUGUUCCUGACGCUGAAGGCGAAAGCUAGGGGAGCGAACG
rnacentral:rRNA from 1 species